ACAUGGCCAUCAUACAUCCCCUCCAGCCCCGGCUGUCAGCCACAGCCACCAAAGUGGUCAUCUGUGUCAUCUGGGUCCUGGCUCUCCUGCUGGCCUUCCCCCAGGGCUACUACUCAACCACAGAGACCAUGCCCAGCAGAGUCAUGUGCAUGAUCGAAUGGCCAGAGCAUCCGAACAAGAUUUAUGAGAAAGUAUGAAACUACAAGCCUGAGCAAGUUCCCAGAGGGAGAAAGAACACAGCUUUACAAGCCAUACAGAACCUGUGAACAUGUUCAAGCCAGAAGGUUUCCUCAAAAGGGAAAAAAAAAAUCUCCGAAUUAAAGCUCG
rnacentral:sRNA from 1 species